CUGCAGUAAAGGUAUGUCUCAUUGUGCCCUCACAUUGUCAUUGAUAAAAUGCCUCUUAAACCUGAAUUCACUCAUUGAAGAAAGAGCCAACCUUAUAUUCAUAGUUGAAAUCCUAACUUCAAUGUGAUAUUGGAGGUGGUGCCUUUGAAAUAAUAAUUGAUUAUGAGGCUAAAGCCCACAUGAAUGGGAUCCUUAUAAGAAGAGAUGCGAAAGGUUGCUCUUUCUCUCUGCUCUCCACCACGUGAGAAUACAAGGAAGAAAGGCUAUAUGAAAACUAUAUGAAGUGGGUCCUCAUCAGACACUGGAUCUGCAGGCAUGCUGAUCUUGGACUUCCAAGUUUCAGAACUGGGAGUAAUAAAUGUUUGUUGUUUAAGUU